rnacentral:tRNA from 1 species
GCCUGAUUGGCUCAGUUGGUAGAGUAUGUGACUCUUGAUCUUGGGAUUGUGAGUUUGAGCCCCAUUUUGGGUG